GUCCUCCCACAGCUGCAUGCUCAGUUGAUUACCUUCUCCAAUAGAGGAAGACCCUUUUUUGGUGAAGGGUAUGCAAAUAGCUGUGCUCCUCUGCUAGAACCUACAAACGUUCUCAAGAACAGCUUCCAGGCCCCUCGGGUCCCAGC
rnacentral:sRNA from 1 species